GCACCCGUGGUUCAAUGGUUAGAGCAGUGGACUUCUGAUCAAGAGGUCGCGGGUUCGAGCCCCGGGUGGUGCA
rnacentral:tRNA from 1 species